rnacentral:rRNA from 1 species
GGGUUGUGAGGUUAAGCGACUAAGCGUACACGGUGGAUGCCCUGGCAGUCAGAGGCGAUGAAGGACGUGCUAAUCUGCGAUAAGCGCCGGUAAGGUGAUAUGAACCGUUAUAACCGGCGAUUUCCGAAUGGGGAAACCCAGUGUGACUCGUCACACUAUCAUUAACUGAAUCCAUAGGUUAAUGAGGCGAACCGGGGGAACUGAAACAUCUAAGUACCCCGAGGAAAAGAAAUCAACCGAGAUUCCCCCAGUAGCGGCGAGCGAACGGGGAGGAGCCCAGAGCCUGAAUCAGCAUGUGUGUUAGUGGAAGCGUCUGGAAAGGCGCGCGAUACAGGGUGACAGCCCCGUACACAAAAGCGCAUGUGCUGUGAGCUCGAUGAGUAGGGCGGGACACGUGGUAUCCUGUCUGAAUAUGGGGGGACCAUCCUCCAAGGCUAAAUACUCCUGACUGACCGAUAGUGAACCAGUACCGUGAGGGAAAGGCGAAAAGAACCCCGGCGAGGGGAGUGAAAAAGAACCUGAAACCGUGUACGUACAAGCAGUGGGAGCACAGGUUUACCUGUGUGACUGCGUACCUUUUGUAUAAUGGGUCAGCGACUUAUAUUCUGUAGCAAGGUUAACCGAAUAGGGGAGCCGGAGGGAAACCGAGUCUUAACUGGGCGUUAAGUUGCAGGGUAUAGACCCGAAACCCGGUGAUCUAGCCAUGGGCAGGUUGAAGGUUGGGUAACACUAACUGGAGGACCGAACCGACUAAUGUUGAAAAAUUAGCGGAUGACCUGUGGCUGGGGGUGAAAGGCCAAUCAAACCGGGAGAUAGCUGGUUCUCCCCGAAAGCUAUUUAGGUAGCGCCUCGUGAAUUCAUCUCCGGGGGUAGAGCACUGUUUCGGCUAGGGGGCCAUCCCGGCUUACCAACCCGAUGCAAACUGCGAAUACCGGAGAAUGUUAUCACGGGAGACACACGGCGGGUGCUAACGUCCGUCGUGAAGAGGGAAACAACCCAGACCGCCAGCUAAGGUCCCAAAGUCAUGGUUAAGUGGGAAACGAUGUGGGAAGGCCCAGACAGCCAGGAUGUUGGCUUAGAAGCAGCCAUCAUUUAAAGAAAGCGUAAUAGCUCACUGGUCGAGUCGGCCUGCGCGGAAGAUGUAACGGGGCUAAACCAUGCACCGAAGCUGCGGCAGCGACGCUGAUGCGUUGUUGGGUAGGGGAGCGUUCUGUAAGCCUGUGAAGGUGGCCUGUGAGGGUUGCUGGAGGUAUCAGAAGUGCGAAUGCUGACAUAAGUAACGAUAAAGCGGGUGAAAAGCCCGCUCGCCGGAAGACCAAGGGUUCCUGUCCAACGUUAAUCGGGGCAGG